rnacentral:tRNA from 1 species
GGGGAUUUAGCUCAGUGGUAGAGCGCUUGCCUAGCAAGCACAUGGCCCUGGGUUCAGUCCCCAGCUCCG